rnacentral:tRNA from 1 species
CAGAUUUGCCUGAAGUUGGAGUUUCAUUUACAUUGAAUUUUUUAGUCGUGCGAUUCGACGUUGUCUGA